CAGUCGCCGCGGUAAUACGAAGGGGGCUAGCGUUGUUCGGAAUCACUGGGCGUAAAGGGUGCGUAGGCGGGAUCUUAAGUCAGGGGUGAAAUCCCGAGGCUCAACCUCGGAACUGCCUUUGAUACUGGGGUCCUUGAGUCCGGAAGAGGUGAGUGGAACUGCGAGUGUAGAGGUGAAAUGCGUAGAGAUGUGGAGGAACACCAGUGGCGAAGGCGACUCUCUGGUCUGUAACUGACGCUGAGGAGCGAAAGCGUGGGGAGCGAACAGGAUUAGAUACCCCUGUAGUCCCUGUCUCUUAUAC
rnacentral:rRNA from 1 species